AAUCAACGCUGGCGGCAUGCCUAACACAUGCAAGUCGUACGAGAAAGUUGGCUUCGGCCGGCAAGUAAAGUGGCGCACGGGUGAGUAACGCGUGGAUAAUCUACCCUUAAGUUUGGAAUAACGUACCGAAAGGUGCGCUAAUACCGGAUAAUACUGAGUGACUACUGUUGCUUAGUCAAAGAAGGCUUCUGUUUACAUGCUUUUGCUUUGGGAUGAGUCCGCGUACCAUUAGCUAGUUGGUAGGGUAAAAGCCUACCAAGGCGACGAUGGUUAGCUGGUCUGAGAGGAUGAUCAGCCACACUGGAACUGAGACACGGUCCAGACUCCUACGGGAGGCUG
rnacentral:rRNA from 1 species